rnacentral:rRNA from 1 species
CCUACGGGAGGCAGCAGUGAGGAAUAUUGGUCAAUGGGCGGGAGCCUGAACCAGCCAAGCCGCGUGAGGGAAGAAGGUACAGCGUAUCGUAAACCUCUUUUGUCAGGGAACAAAGGCGGGGACUAGUCCCCGGAUGAGGGUACCUGAAGAAAAAGCAUCGGCUAACUCCGUGCCAGCAGCCGCGGUAAUACGGAGGAUGCGAGCGUUAUCCGGAUUUAUUGGGUUUAAAGGGUGCGCAGGCGGCCUGUUAAGUCAGCGGUAAAAGCCCGGGGCUCAACCCCGGCGAGCCGUUGAAACUGGCGGGCUUGAGUUGGAGAGAGGUACGCGGAAUGCGCGGUGUAGCGGUGAAAUGCUGAGAUAUCGCGCAGAACCCCGAUUGCGAAGGCAGCGUACCGGCUCCACACUGACGCUGAGGCACGAAAGCGUGGGUAUCGAAUAGGAUUAGAUACCCGAGUAGUC